rnacentral:rRNA from 1 species
AACGUAGGUUCCGAGCGUUAUCCGGAUUUACUGGGCGUAAAGCGCGUUCAGGCGGUUUGGCAAGUCAAACAUGAAAUCUCUCAACUCAACCAGGAGAGAUUGUCCAAUACUUCCAGACUUGAGGACAGUAGAGGGUGGUGGAAUUCCGGGUGUAGUGGUGAAAUGCGUAGAUAUCCGGAGGAACACCAGUGGCGAAAGCGGCCACCUGGACUGCACCUGACGCUGACACGCGAAAGCUAGGGGAGCAAACGGG